rnacentral:rRNA from 1 species
UACGGAGGGUGCAAGCGUUAAUCGGAAUUACUGGGCGUAAAGCGCACGCAGGUGGCUGAGUCAGUCGAUUGUGAAAGCCCUGGGCUUAACCUGGGAAUUGCAGUCGAUACUACUCAGCUAGAGUAUGGGAGAGGGCAGUGGAAUUCCCGGUGUAGCGGUGAAAUGCGUAGAUAUCGGGAGGAACAUCAGUGGCGAAGGCGAGUCUCUGGACAGUUACUGACGCUGAGGCACGAAGGCCAGGGGAGCAAACGGG